GCUGCCGUGCCUGCGCUUAAGCUCCCAGCACUUAGGAUUCAGGAUUCAUCCCUGAAAGCUAGAGGGGCAGAGACGGAGUCGAGGGACCUGGGCUCGGGUCUGUCCGCGUCCACCUACACUGUGUCCCUGCGCAUGCCAACACUCCCCGGCAAGUCAUGGGAGGAGCAAGCAGCGAUGCAGAGGUGUGUGCAGGCGUGUGAAUAUUAAGAAAUGAAACAGGGUAUCUCUGCUACCGGUGAACAGUUUGGUCACGUGCAGGAGAUGGGAAUGCGGGUGUCAGACCGGUGGAGGCCACGGCUGAGUCAAGCGCUGAGUGACUUUCACUGCUCCGUUGGAAGCAUGUCUGUGCGCCCUUCUUCGAUUUAUGUUUCUCAAAUUGCAAAUGCCCUAUGUGCUGAAGAACCCCUGGGACCCAGCGCCUGUGGUCUGCGACUCUCUCAGAAGGCACCGUGAAAAGAAACUGUUUCUUGGGUGUGGAAAGAAUGUCUCUGUUCCAUUUAAAUUCGAGACUGCUCCAGUGACAGCGGAUCCCUGAUUUAUCCCUGUAAACUCGCAACCGAGCCAGACAUGAUGGCGCACACCUGUGAUCCCAGCACUUGGGAGGGUGAGGCAGGAGGACUGCCAUGAGUUUGAGGCCAGCCUAAAUGGCAUAAUGAGAUCCUGUCUCCAAAAAAUAACCAAAAAGGAAACAAAACUGGCAACUGUACUUUCAGUUUUAUAUGAACCAGUGCUGUUGGCUGACCACGUUCAGACAUAAAUUUGAAAAAGAAUCAAUGCUUCAUGAUCAUCUGGGAGAACAAACCUCUGCAAAUCUGGAAGCAAGCUGCACACUCAAAACUGGAAACCACUGUAGUAUAAACUCAGUGGAAAAUAUGAAAAGGGGAACACUCACCCUCGAUUUGUACAGCAGGCAAAGUGGUUGAAAAUCAAAGGAAAAGAAGAUAUUGGCUUGGAUAAUCUCUUCAGAGAGAUCGAACUCGGUUCCCUGCACUUGCACAGCAGGCGAUGAAACCACUGAGCUAAAUCCCCGGCCCCUGGUGGUCAACUUUUGAGGAUUAGCCAUUCAACAGAAGCUUGAUACAGCAGUUACUUUGCGCCCAGCACAGAGGGUCAGAGUCAACCAAACUGCAGCAAGGUCACAGGAAGGAGAUACAGAAGUGAAUGUUUUUGUUUUCAUUGACAAGAUCUGGAAAAUCCUGAUCAUAAGAGGUGUGUUAUUGGACUGACAUUCCUGAGAAGUCACCCAGUCCUCUACGAAUAGCUGCCCCUGCUCAGAUACAAGGAAGAGAUGUGUUGGCAGGAGGACAGAUCCAGCUGGCUCUCAGAACUCAGUGCCGCAUCAGAACUGUCAGAGUCCCUUCACCAAUCCCAGUACUGCUGGUGCCGCUCAUUUCUGGACACUGUGGGUGCCACGGGAUCUGUAGUAACCAGUCAGCAGCAAUCAUCCUUCUAGAAGCUUCCAGUGUUUUCUGUCUAGACUAGAAUUAAGAUCUCAGAACACAGCCCUGGGGCCUCAGUGUGGGGCUUGGCUCCAGACCCGCUUGAUUCUGCCCAGCUGUGGGAUCCAUUGCCCUCAUUUCCGAGCAUGUGCUCCCUCCCACCAAGAGACUGGAAUUCUGGAAAGUGAGCCAAACAUGCACAUGUUUUUCCACUUCCACGGUGAAAGUUCGGGACUCACUGUCCGAUGGUCCUCCUGGGUGUCCAGGACUCCUCAACCCUGCCCAGUCACGGGCACAUCUCCAUCUUCAUGUCCUUGCCUCCCCUUCCACUUCUCUUGCAUCCACUGAAAUCCUAGGCAGCUCUUAAAAUGCAGGCUCUGAAAUUAGAAAACCCCAGAAGUUCUGAAAAAUUGCUGUUUCUGACAUUCCCUGUCUCAGAGCUUCUCACUGUGGGGCAGAGAUGGUGCCAGGGACCGCCGAUGUUUGUGAAGCUCCCCGGCCCACCUGAGGCCAGUGGUGCGUCCACUGCCUGCACUUUCUGCUGUCAGCCUUUCAGUUUCCGACAGGCAGAAUGCACCACUCUUUCCUCUCCAUCCUUCCUGCAUGGUCUGAAGGGCUGUUCUUCAGGCUCUGUCCCUCCAUGUCCAUUGCGUGAGGACAGGGACUAUGCCAUCAUCCGUUUGGUGACUCUGCCCUUGAUUCAGUGCCUAGCACAAUGCAGAAAAUGUGUGCUGCAUACAGAGUAUGCUUGGUGACAUAACCUGUAUUUGUAAUUCGAAAUUACAGUGUAAAACCUAGAAAUAGCAAAUAAAAUUCCACAGCUGCUCCUCUGUGCCACCCAAGAGUGGACAGUCUCUGCCUCUCCGGGCUUCAAGGAGCCUCAUCUCAUGCUGCUUCUCUUGGGAAGUGUGCAGUUCACAAGCGGUG
ensembl:lncRNA